GCCAGGCAUGGUAGCGCAGGCCUGUAGUCCCAGCUACUAGGGAGGCUGAGGCGGGAGGAUUGCUUGAGCCUGGGGAGUCUGAGGCUGCAGUGAGCCGUGAUCAUGUCACUGCACUCCAGCCCGAGUGACAGAGUGAGACCCUAUCUCAA
rfam:Gorilla gorilla gorilla genomic chromosome, chr12, whole genome shotgun sequence